CUUUUCCCCAGUGUAUGUACUUGACAGCUUUGUUGAAAAUGAGUUCACUCUAGGUGUGUGGAUUUGUUUCUGGGUUCUCUAUCCCGUUCCAUUGGUCUAUGUGUCUGUUUUUAUGCCAGCACCAUGUUGUUUUGAUUACUACACCUCACCUCUGUAGUAUAAUUUGAAGUCAGGUAAUGUAAUUCCCCCUUUCAAUAAUAAUAAAAUAAUCACAAAGGUGAAGGAGGAGCCAAGGCAUGUCUUACAUAGUGGUAGGCAAGAGAGCAUUUGCAGGGCAACUGACCUUUACAAAACCAUUGGAUCUCAUGAGAUUUAUUCACUAUCACAAGAACAGCAUGGGAAAAUCCAUCCCCAUGGUUCAAUUACCUCCCACUGGGUUCCUUUGAUGACACAUGGGGAUUAUGGGAGCCACAAUUCAAGAUGAGAUUUGGGUAGGGACACAGCCAAACCAUGUCAGGAACUCAGAACAGUUUAGCCCAUGGUGGUGAGGUUUGUGGGAAUUCAAGUUCAGACCACUGGGAUCAGUGGUCUUCCUCUGGUCAGUGCUGGUUUAAAUCCUCUCUCCAUGGGUGGGCAUCAAUUGAGUUUGGUUCAGUUUUCUUUUCUGUGAUAACAGGACAACACUGAGUUUAGUGCCUCACAAUUGUGCUCUCUCUCCUCUAGUACACAGAAAUGCUCUCCAUACCUUGCCACUGCUGCUGGGAAGGAACAGGGGAGGAGUGACAUUGAGAUUCAAGACUAUUUUUCCUACCUCUUCAGUGCCUCUUUCAGCCAUAUGAAGUUAAAACCAGGUCUCAUUCUGUCAUUGAGGCUGAAGUGCAGUAGCACAAUCUCAGCUCACUGCAGCCUCUACCUUCAAGGUUCAAGCAAUUCUUCCACCUCAGCUUCCUGAGUAGCUGGGACUACAGGGGAGAAGAGGAGAGUAAAAGUGAAGAAGAAAGAGGCAAAACAAGUGACUAGACCACACGCUGAACAAGUUGUAGCUCUCAUUUACUUUUCAGAGAAUGUAAAAUGUUACAACUGCUUUGGAUAACAGUUUGGCAAUUUCUUUAAAAGUUAAGCAUAUAUAUAUAUAUAUAUAUAUAUAUAUAAUCAUAUAAUCUAGCCAUUUCACACAUCAGAAUUUACCCUCAUCCCCAAAUAAAAGCACAAAGAUGUGAAUGCCCAUAGCAGCUGCAUGUGUAAUAACUCAAAACUAUAAAAAACUCAAACACUCAUCAACAGUGAAUAAUUAAACAAAUUGUUUACAUUGCAAAAACAUUAUCAGUUGAAAGGAAUGAGCUACUGGUAGCAGCAACAAGGUACACAAAUCUAGAAAUAAUUAUGCUGAGGAAGAGAAGCCAGAAAAAUAUAAUAUAUAUUAUAUUAUCUCAUAUAUAUUAAAGAAUAGAGAAUGCAAACUAAUCUAUAGUGACAGAAAACAAAUCAGUGGCAAUCUGGGAAUGAGGGUAAGGGGUAAGAGGAAGGGAUUAAAAUGGGGCAUGAGUAAAAUUUUGGAAGUGAUAAGUAUAUUUAUUAUCUUGACUGGUUAUGGUUUUACAGAUACAUACUUAACGGUGAAAACUGGCAGAUUGUACAUUUUAAUAUGCAUAGUUUAUGAAAUGUCAAUUAUAUCUCAAUAAAUAUUAAGAUUAUAUAAGAAUAAUCUAGAGAAAUAAAACAUUUUUAAAAAAAUUAUAGUAAGAGUUGUUCUCUAACCAUUGUAGUUAAUCAGUUUUACUAAAGAAUAACCACAUAUAAAACCUUGUUCCCUUAUUUACAGAAAGUUUCUCCCGUACAGUUUGUACACUGUCUAUUCAUGUGAGCUAAUGCUUUAAAAAUUAACAUAUUAAUUUUCCUAUAUUAUAUGAACCUAGUGUUUUAUCCCAAUAAAUUAAUCAUCACAUUUUCUUUAUAGGUGUUUUUUUGUGGAAAAAAUUUAAUCAACCCAUAUCAUUUUUGUGUGCGAUCUUUCCUUAGUGAACAUUAAAUCUAAUCAUUUGUUAUUUGCAUUUGAAGUAAUUAUUUUAACAUGGGCUCUUUCCUAAGCACUUUGAAAAUUAGUCCUCUAAAGCCUUUUGUUGUAUAUAACUUUCUCUCUUGUGUUUUGUAUAAUUAUUAUUAUAUAGUAGUAUAAUUUAAAGGGGAAAUGUGCAAUAAACCCAUAUGCUUUAUUAUUAAAAGUAGGUACUGUAAGUUUUACUCCUAUGCCAAUUGGAUGGAAGAUCAAGAGUUGUGAUGAUCGGGAGGCUGAGGCAGGAGAAUGGCAUGAACCAGGGGGGCAGAGCUUGCGGUGAGCCGAGAUCGCACCACUGCACUCCAGCCUGGGUGACAGAGCGAGACUGUGUCUCAAAAAAUUAAAAAAUAAUAAUAAAAUAAAAUAAUAAAAAAAGAGUUGUGAUGAUCAUUUUCAGUUUUUAGUUUAACUGAAGAUAACAGAAACAGUCCAGAAUGGUCAAACUUUGACAUUUAUUAAAACAUUUAGAGACACUAAAACAUACAAACAAUUUUUGGUGGUUAAGACCAUGUGCUCUGGAAUAAGAAAUUGGUAUUUAAAUUCUUUCUAUUUACUGUUACAUUUAAGGCUUUGUUUAAAUGUUUAUGUGUAAAAAGAUCAAAAGCACUUUCAUAUAUUUCUUUAAAUAAUGUAUGCCAUUCAAUUUUUGCCGAAAGAGAUAAUAAAUCAGAGCAGACAAUGAAGA
rnacentral:lncRNA from 1 species